UACGUAGGGCGCAAGCGUUGUCCGGAAUUAUUGGGCGUAAAGAGCUCGUAGGCGGCUUGUCACGUCGAUUGUGAAAGCCCGAGGCUUAACCUCGGGUCUGCAGUCGAUACGGGCUAGCUAGAGUGUGGUAGGGGAGAUCGGAAUUCCUGGUGUAGCGGUGAAAUGCGCAGAUAUCAGGAGGAACACCGGUGGUGUAAACGGCCUUCUGGACCAUAACUGACACUGAGGCACGAAAGCGUGGGUAGCAAACAGG
rnacentral:rRNA from 1 species